GUGUCCGUGGUGUAGUGGUCUCUGCACAUCGGUCUGUGAAUCCGAAGGUAAGGGUUCAAUCCCCUUCGGGCACC
rnacentral:tRNA from 1 species